CUACGAUUGUUUUGUACGCUGUUAUGGAUUAUAAGAGAACUAACAAACUGCCUUCACUGCACAGACUUUGAACUGUACAACAAACUUUCAUGGAAAGUUGUACUUCUUCAGCUCUAAUGUACUGAACUGGUCAAGCAGUCGUGCUUUCUGUGUUUCAAAAGGAGCAGAUCUGGUCACCAUAACCAGCCAGACAGAACAAGAUUUUCUGGCUUCUGAAAUUGAAGAACAGCACUGGAUUGGUCUCACUGAUCUGAAAACUGAGGGACACUGGGUCUGGGUGAAUAACCAAACUCUUACUGAUACUGGAGUACAGUCAUGGUACAAGAGAGCAUCUGGGCAAAGUGAACCUGAUAACUGGAGAGGAACGGACCCCUCUGGAGAACACUGUGCUGUUGUGAGAUAUUUUGAAGGCCAUGUACACUGGUUUGAUGUUUCUUGCAAACUUCAAAAGAAGUUUAUUUGUGAGAAGAAAUAUUAAUUUUCAUCAGUGAGGCGUUAUGAAAGAGGAUUAUAUUAUAUAUGCACAGGUGUCUGGAUAGGAUCCUCUUUUGGAUAGCUUUUUUGUGUUUGUGUUCUGUCUGGUUUUCUUAAAUCUAGAAGCUAUAAACUGUGGCGAAACCAUAAAACUAUAACAGCUCUUCAAAAACAGCUAUUUAUAUAAACAUCCCACUAAUAUUCUAUCCCACUGUAAUCAUUUUAAUUCUCUCAAGAGCAGGGGUGUAAAGCACCUAUUAUUCAGCAGUCCCGGUUUAUUUGGUUAUAGUCAAUACAUAGUCAAUAAAUGGAGCCAAUACAGCCGAUAAAUGAAGAUUCUGACUGACCUGCAAUGGCUUUAGCUAAACUAAGGCCAUUAUUCUUGUUAAUUGUUGUAGGGGUUUUCUAAUUAAAUAAAUCAAAUGGUGGAACAGACUUCUUGCAACAUGUGUCUAUUUGAUUGUUCAGAUCAAAAUGUAAACAAUGUUACAUUUAUAUUUAAUAAAUGAAAUGCAUGUCCAUCUCAAAAUAGCCCAUUUUUAACACAUUUUGUAUUUAUAAUCAUUGAUCAAUUGAACUUUAAAUUGUAUUCUGUAUUAUUUCCGAGGUCAA